rnacentral:pre_miRNA from 1 species
UUUAAGCGUAGCCCAUAAAUUUUCGUGAUCAAUUUUGAUCAUCCAUUUUAUUUUAAUUUUUAUAUAAUUAGUAUUUUAUUAUUAUUAGAUGAUAAAACACGAAUAAUAUUUUAUGUGUGACUUUAAUUUUUAAAUUAAAGUUAGACACGGAAACUCAUGUUUACGCUUAAA